rnacentral:rRNA from 1 species
AUUGAACGCUGGCGGCAUGCCUUACACAUGCAAGUCGAACGGCAGCACGGGAGCAAUCCUGGUGGCGAGUGGCGAACGGGUGAGUAAUAUAUCGGAACGUGCCCGGUCGUGGGGAUAACGUAGCGAAAGCUACGCUAAUACCGCAUACGAUCUACGGAUGAAAGCGGGGGAUCGCAAGGCCUCGCGCGAUUGGAGCGGCCGAUAUCAGAUUAGGUAGUUGGUGAGGUAAAGGCUCACCAAGCCGACGAUCUGUAGCUGGUCUGAGAGGACGACCAGCCACACUGGGACUGAGACACGGCCCAGACUCCUACGGGAGGCAGCAGUGGGGAAUUUUGGACAAUGGGCGCAAGCCUGAUCCAGCAAUGCCGCGUGCAGGAUGAAGGCCUUCGGUUGUAAC